GAGGGUAUAAUUCAGUGGUAGAGUGCAUGCCUAGCAUGCACGAGGUCCUGAGUUCAAUCCCCAAUACCUUCA
rnacentral:tRNA from 1 species